rnacentral:lncRNA from 1 species
GCAAUGAUUGAUUUCAUUCAGGGCAAAAUUUAAGGAACCUAUGGCAGUUUAUUUGGAUAACUGGUAAAUAAAUAAAGCAAGUCGCCAAGCAUUUACAAAUUUCUAACAUAUAUUUUUGUUUACCUAAUAUUAUUUUAAUAUUAGAUCAUCCUGAGUAUACUUCUGGAGCAUAAUGGUUCAUUCUUAUAUUCCUUCAAAGACAGAUGGUUUUUUAUUCCAGUCAGGUAAUUUCUAGUCCUUUUUAUUCACCAAGCAUAAGAUAACCACAGCAUAAUGCUUAAUUCUUAUAUUCCUUCAAAGACAGAUGGUCUUUUAUUCCAGUCAGGUAAUUUCUAGUCCAUUUUAUUCACCAAGUAUAAGAUAAUCACAGCAUUCUUCUACGCAGAAUGAAUACUAGCAAAUAUGCUUCUCAGUAU